UACGUAGGCAGCGAGCGUUGUUCGGAGUUACUGGGCGUAAAGGGUGUGUAGGCGGUUGUUUAAGUUUGGUGUGAAAUCUCCCGGCUCAACUGGGAGGGUGCGCCGAAUACUGAAUGACUUCGAGUGCGGGAGAGGAAAGUGGAAUUCCUGGUGUAGCGGUGAAAUGCGUAGAUAUCGGAAGGAACACCUGUGGCGAAAGCGGCUCACUGGACCAUAACUGACGCUGAGGCGCGAAAGCUAGGGGAGCAAACAGG
rnacentral:rRNA from 1 species